rnacentral:rRNA from 1 species
GGUGAAACGCGAAUGGCUCAUUAAAUCAGAUAUUAUUUCUUAGAUCUUACAAAUUUACUUGGAUAACUGUAGUAAUUCUAGAGCUAAUACAUUUUAAAGUGCUUCAGUGCUUGCGCUGAAUGCGAAUUUAUUAGAACAAAAAUCAACCAGCUUCGGCUGUUAAUUUGGUAACUCUGAAUAACUUAUCUGAUCGCACGACCUUGCGUCGGCGACGUAUCUUUCAAGUAUCUGCCCUAUCAACUUUCGAUGGUAAGUUAAAUGCUUACCAUGGUUAUAACGGGUAACGGGGAAUCAGCGUUCGAUUCCGGAGAGGGAGCCUUAGAAACGGCUACCACAUCUAAGGAAGGCAGCAGGCGCGCAAAUUACCCACUUCUGGAUAGGAGAGGUAGUGACGAAAAAUAACAUUGCUGAACUCAAUAUGAGGCUUAGCAAAUGCAAUGAACACAACUUAAAUAAUUUAAUGAGUAACAAUUGGAGGGCAAGUCUGGUGCCAGCAGCCGCGGUAAUUCCAGCUCCAAUAGCGUAUAUUAAAUUUGUUGCAGUUAAAAAGCUCGUAGUUGGAUCUCAGGUUUGGUAUGUCGGUUUGCUCUUUGUAGCACAACUGUAUUAUAUCAGCCUUUUUUAGUUGUUAGCCGCUGUACGGUGGUCUUCAUUGAUCGCUGUAUAGUGCUCGACACGUUUACCUUGAAGAAAUCAGAUUGAUCAAAGCAGGCUUCGGCUUGAAUGCGUAUGCAAGGAAUAAUAGAAUAGGACCUUGGUGCUAUUUUGUUGAUUUUCAGUACUAAGGUAAUGAAUAAUAGAGACAGUCGGGGGUAUUUGUAUGGUGACGUUAGAGGUGAAAUUCUGAGAUCGUUGCCAGACAAACUACUGCGAAAGCAUUUACCCAGUAUGUCUUCAUUAAUCAAGAACGAAAGUCAGAGGUUCGAAGACGAUCAGAUACCGUCCUAGUUCUGACCAUAAACGAUGCCGAUCAGUAAUUACGGGUGGAUUUAUUAUUAUUGUCCCUCGUAGCUACCUCUAGGAAACUUAUAAAUUGGUUCUGGGGGGAAUAUGGUCUCAAGACUGAAACUUAAAGGAAUUGACGGAAGGGCACCACAAGGUGUGGAGCUUGCGGCUUAAUUUGACUCAACACGGGGAAUCUCACCCGGUCCGGACACUGUAAGGAUAGACAGAUUGAUAGCUCUUUCUUGAUUCAGUGGGUGGUGGUGCAUGGCCGUUCUUAGUUGGUGGAGUGAUUUGUCUGGUUAAUUCCGAUAACGAACGAGACUCUAUCCUGCUAAAUAGUUUAGUGGCAUCAGUUGCUUAAAUGUGACUACAGCUGCUUUAUACUUCUUAGAGGGAUUGGUGAAUCUAAAUCACACGAAAGAGAGCAAUAACAGGUCUGUGAUGCCCUUAGAUGUCCGGGGCCGCACGCGUGCUACAUUGACAGUAACAACGAGUAUUAUCACCAAGGUCCGAAAGGAUUGGGAAAUCUUUGAAUUACUGUCUCCACAGGGAUUGAGGUUUGCAAUUUUGCCUCAUGAACGAGGAAUACCUAGUAAGCGCAAGUCAUCAGCUUGCGUUGAUUAUGUCCCUGCCCUUUGUACACACCGCCCGUCGCUACUACCGAUUGAGUGGAUUAGUGAGGACAUCGGAUUGAGAAAUUGUUGGAUUUAUUCUAAUGAUUUUUCGAGAAGUUGUUCAAACUUGUUCAUUUAGAGAUAGUAAAAGUCGU